rnacentral:lncRNA from 1 species
UUAGUAGUAAAACACAGCUGUUGUUAUAGGAGAUACAUAUUUAAGCCUUCAGCUUAGUUCUUUAAGACUGAUUUAAGAUGGACCAGUUUUUCUGGAACCUACAAAAACAUAGCCAAGAUCUAUAAGUAAUUUUUCCUCAUAGAAGACCUAGCAUUGUACCUUCAGCUUACUGAAAGCAAUUAAAUAUGGUAAUUGCAUAUAUUUUAGUAACUUCUCAAGACAUACUGGUACAUAUUUUAGUAUAGAAGACUAUCAAGUACAAGAAUUAUAUUCUACUUGCUGACAAAUGUCAAAAACCUAAAUGAUCUUAAAGGUCAAAGUGAUAACUAGAAUAAAGUUUAACUUUGACCAAUUUUAGUAGGUUACUUUAUGUGUUAGAUCCAGAAGUAACCUUAAGUUUAAAAUAUUGAAAUAGAACUGAAAGAUUAGGAAAAAUGUAUAUCUUGUGGCAAAUGAUACUUGCAUGUUAAUAAAGGCAGGUCUGGAAGGAUGCCACAUGUGGGGAAGGACACGGUGUGGGGCAGGGACAGGCAACAUCCCAACCUUGAAACUUUGCUUAUGGCAAGCUCAGUUCAAAGCACAGUCUGGUCUAUGAACCAGACUGUUCUACGUUCAUAAGGGAUAUGAAAUUUGGGGAUCUUGUCAUAGGUAUUUCUCAGUCACUGCCACACACACCUCACUUCUUAUCUGGAGAGAGAACUUAGAGUAAUUCAGGAGAAAUAGUAGGUGUUGCCUGUCACCUGGAUGGUGCUAUGCAGUUCACAAAGCGUUGUCACAUUCAUGAUCUCACCUAGACUCCACUACAAACCAUGUGUUGGCUUUUUUGUCCCUGUUUUACAAUGAUGAAACCAAGGUCCAGAAAUGUUUAAAUGACCAAUUCCAGGUCAUGAAACUAAAAAGUAGCUUAGUUAGGAUUCAAACAUAGGCCUUUUGAUUCCCAGUCCAGAGCCUUUUCUAACAUAUGGUAAGCAGAGAUCAGGCAAAAGGGGGCAAAAAAAAGAGAUGGGAAAGUUAGGCAGUAGGGAAGGUCAUAGGAUGAAAAAGAGCUAUCAGGCAAGGACAAAAUCAGUAGGGCUGCCAUCCCUCCUAAGCAGCAGAGGAAGGAUAAAUAUGUGUUUUGGGCAAUAAUGGCCUUAUGAGCAGGUGAAAAGAGGGCGGUAUGAAUCAUAAUGACAUAAUUAUGGAAUUUUUUGACAAGGAAAAUCAUUUAUCUGGAAAACUUUGAAGAAAUAAUUGACUCCUCCAUUUUACAGAUGAAAAAGUCCAGACCCAGGGAGAUACCUGAUCAGUCUUCAGUCUCAUACUAUUAAUGGGAGAGCCGUCCAAAGACCAACCAUGACUUACUGGUAUGGAUAUGUUAAAAUCUUGAAGUGCUUUUAUUUAAAACAAAACAAAACAGGGGUGCCUGGGUGGCUCAGUAGGUUAAGCGUCUGACUUUGGCUCAGGUCAUGAGCUUGUGGUUUGUGAGUUUGAGCCCCAUGUCAGGCUCUGUGCUGACAGCUCAGAGCCUGUAGCCUGCUUUGGAUUCUGUCUCUCUCUCUCUCUCAAAAAUAAAUAAGUGUUAAAAAAAUUUUUUUAAAAACCCCAGCUUUAUGGGAGGUGGGGGGUACCUGGCUGGGUCAGUUGGAAGAGCAUGCAACUCCUGAUCUUUGGGUCAUGAAUUUGAGACCCAUGUUGGGUAUAGAGAUUACUUAAAAAAAAAUUGAAAUAAAAAACUACUUAGGGCACAAUUAUAUACCAAAAACUUCACCCAUAGUGGCUCAAAAGUGUUGAGUAAAUUUAUAUAGUUGGGUAACCAUCACCACAAUCCAGUUUUAGCACAUUCCUACCCGCCUCUAAAAAAUAAACCUGAAAUACUUCAGUCGUGGUUAGUAAAUAGCCACUUCCCUCAAACCCCCAAAAGACUCACCCUUCAAUCCUCUGAAUCACCCCAGAUCUCCUUAAGAUCUAAUUCUAGAUACCUGGUCCACCAGUAAGGAACAUCCAGGCCCCUGCCCCAGCACUGAGCCGCUUCUGUUCUGCAUGGUUGGAACCUUUCCCACAUCUGUGCCACAUCUGUUGUAAAGUAACUUUAGUAUCACCCCUGGGAAGGAUGAAGGCAGGAUUGAACUCCUCUGGUUCCCAAUCUGGAGCUUUUCACACAGGACCCUGCUUUUCAGCAAGACAGGAAAAUAAACAAGUUAACAAAAGAAAGCAAGUGCUAUGAAAUUCUAUCUACAUAAGGGAUAGACUGUUUUUGAAACGUCAAGAGAUUGAGCUGCUAUCUAUCAUGACAGUUACCUCUCCAGUAAAGGUGUUCUUACCUUGAGGUUUACUGUUGGAUGAACUUCUGAAGGUCAGGUAACUCCCUGAAAUACAAAAUUUCACAGGUAUUUACAUUUUUCUGUGAGUGGGUCCAUGGACCAAAAAAAGGGGAAAAAAGGGAUAACUUGCUAAGAACAUGUUUUGCUUUUUAAUGUUUAUUUGUUUUUGAAAGAUAGAGACACAGACCUCAGAGCAUGAGCAGGGGAAGGGCAGAGAGAGAGGGAGACACAGAAUCUGAAGCAGGCUCCAGGCUCUGAGCUGUCAGCACAGAGCCCAACAUGGGGCUCGAACUCAUGGACUACAAGAUCAUGACCUGAGCUGAAGUCAGAUGCUCAACCAAUUGAGCCACCCAGAUGCCGCUAAGAACAUACUUGAUAAGAGGUUUAGGGGAGAAGCAAACAAGGAAUGUGCUCAAAAAGUGUAGACCUGGGGAAAAGAAUUCCAACUAG